UACGGAGGAUGCAAGCGUUAUCCGGAUUUAUUGGGUUUAAAGGGUGCGUAGGCGGAAAAAUAAGUCAGUGGUGAAAGCCUGCAGCUCAACUGUAGAAUUGCCAUUGAUACUGUUUUUCUUGAGUACAUUUGAAGUGGGCGGAAUGUGUUGUGUAGCGGUGAAAUGCAUAGAUAUGACACAGAACACCAAUUGCGAAAGCAGCUCACUAAGUUGUCACUGACGCUGAGGCACGAAAGCGUGGGUAGCAAACAGG
rnacentral:rRNA from 1 species